rnacentral:lncRNA from 1 species
GAAAAAAGCUGUUAAACAAGGAAAGACUAUUGAUUUAUUCUGGCUCUUUGGUACCUAGGAAGAUUUACGUAUUCCUUAAACGAUGGAGGCUUGAAGUGGCGCUAACCGGUUUCUGAGGGAAUCUAUUCGACUACAGAGCACUAGUUGUUGCUCACUACCUUCUCCUGACUGGCUUCUGGAGACGCCGUCACGUUAGAAUGACGCUAUCUGACGGAAGACAAUGCAUUAAACCAGUAUAAAAUACUUAUAUUCAGACAUCAAAUUGUACUUGAAUUUUUCAUCAAGCAAUUGCACAACAGGUCUGACUUCUAGAUCACAGCAGGCCAGGGCCUGGGGAGGAACAGCCCACUGGGUAAAAACUGGUUUAGUCAAUGUUUCCACUACAUUUUAAACCCAUAAAAUCUAUGUGAUGACAUUGAACUGGCAUGGGAAACUAAUUGGAUUUGGAAAAAGUCAUCAACUUUUAACCUAAAUCAAAUGACAAGUUACAUUUUUGGGCGAUAUCACGUUGAAUUCACGUUAGUUGACAACUCACCCAAAUGUCAAUCAAAACUAGACGUUGAACUGAUGUCUGUGCCCAGUGGGAGGCAAGGCACUAUGACUUAUGGUACAACUGAUGAUGGUAACAUUCUGACCAAGUAAUGUUUUAUAACAAUUUUGACCACAUACUUUUAUUGUGAAGUACAGAGUAACAAUCUUUUUUAAGCUGAUAGAGAAGAAUAGAGAUGGAAUACAAUGUGUCUGUCCGCUGAAUGAGGCUUAGUCUGAGAUGUAUCAACUCAUUUGGUGGCAUGUUUCUACUCCUCCACUUACUACCUGCCUUGACAACCAGGGUUGGGAUCAAUUCCAUUUCAAUUCAAUUACACUGAAAUUGCAAUGUUAAUUCCAAAUCCAGUUUUCAACAUUGCCUUUCAAUUAGAGAAUUUGAAAUGGGAAUAUCAGUUUACUUCUAGAAUUGACUGAAUUGAAAUGGAAUUGACCUCCAGCCUUGUUGACAACAGGGUGGAAGGUACUGUUAAUUCAGCCAGGUAGGACUGAAUGGAGAGGUCCAGCCACAUAAGAGUGGACUGGUAUGAUUAGAGCUAUUCAAAUGUUAUUAGUGACUUGAAUUGUUUUGGAUGAAACCACUGUCUUGGUCAUUUUUGUGUUAUUUAUUUAAUUUCCUGGUAUUUUGUGGCUUUUUUGUAUGCUGAAAAUUGGUUGGCAGAACUGUUAAAUGUUGAACUGAAAUGUUCAAAAUGGCCUUGACUUUGUUUGUCUCAAGUAGCUGAAUAAUUGAACUUGACAGUUUUACGCUGUAUGAAAGCUGUAUGAAUGCUGUAUGAAAGCUGUAGAAUUGUGAAAUAGGGAUGUUAGCUCAAUGAAACAGAUUAGAGACGAUGUGCUUAGCUGUUAUGAAAUGUUGUGUUUUAAAAUGAAAUAAAAAAAAGUGCAUUAUAUACAGAAGAGUAUUUGGCAUGGCUUUGACCUAUAAACAUUUACGCUCAAAAUUCUGGUGAAUACUAAAGCUCUUACAAUAUGCUUGUUCCUUUCUCUCGUUAUAUUUUUUACACACAAACUAUCCCCAG